rnacentral:misc_RNA from 1 species
GAUGAAGAACGCAGCGAAAUGCGAUACGUAAUGUGAAUUGCAGAAUUCAGUGAAUCAUCGAAUCUUUGAACGCAUAUUGCGCUCUCUGGUAUUCCGGAGAGCAUGCUUGUUUGAGUAUCAGUAAACACCUCAACUCCCUUUUCUUUUUUGAAAUGGGAGCUGGACUUGAGUGAUCCCAACACUUUUCUCACUGGAAAGUGGCGGGUCACUUGAAAUGCAGGUGCAGCUGGACUUUUCUCUGAGCUAUAAGCAUAUCUAUUUAGUCUGCCUAAAAAACAGAUUAUUACUUUUGCUGCAGCUAACAUAAAGGAGAUGAGUUCUUGUGCUGACUGAUGCAGGAUUCACAGAGACAGCUUUGCGGCUGACUUUGUAAACUCGAUCUCAAAUCAAGUAAGACUACCCGCUGAACUUAAGCAUAUCAAUAAGCGGAGGA